GCCGGAAUUGCUAGUAAUGGCAGGUCAGCAUACUGCCGUGAAUACGUUCCCGGGCCUUGUACACACCGCCCGUCACACCAUGAGAGUUGGGAAUACCCGAAGCCUGUGAGCUAACUUUUAGAGGCAGCAGUCGAAGGUAGAAUCAAUGAUUGGGGUGAAGUCGUAACAAGGUAGC
rnacentral:rRNA from 1 species